GCAGCAGCCGCGGUAAUACAGAGGGUGCGAGCGUUAAUCGGAAUUACUGGGCGUAAAGCGUGCGCAGGCGGUUAUAUAAGACAGAUGUGAAAUCCCCGGGCUCAACCUGGGAACUGCAUUUGUGACUGUAUAGCUAGAGUACGGCAGAGGGGGAUGGAAUUCCGCGUGUAGCAGUGAAAUGCGUAGAUAUGCGGAGGAACACCGAUGGCGAAGGCAAUCCCCUGGGCCUGUACUGACGCUCAUGCACGAAAGCGUGGGGAGCAAACAGGAUUAGAUACCCGCGUAGUCCUUGUCUCUUAUAC
rnacentral:rRNA from 1 species